rnacentral:misc_RNA from 1 species
AGCAGGUCUACCAGAAAAUUAUUCUGAUGUUAGCAUUGUCAUGACUGCAGAAGUUUUUACCAUCUUCUCUUGACUUGCUAUCCUAUCCUCUUGCUCAUGAAUCAAGAGUUCAAUCUUCUACACCACCACCCAUCCAAAAUACCCAAGUAUUUUGUGCCAAUAGAGGACGUGGCCAUGGCUGUGUUUACAAUAAUCAAGGAAGCCAAAGUCACUGAAAUUUCUAAUGACAAAGGACGCAGUACACAACUUUUCUUUUCUUUUCUAUCUCAUAGUUAUUUAAAUGACCACCUACCUUCUUAUUUCACAUCAAAUUUUCGUCCUCCCACACCAUUUGACAAUCAUCCCUAUUCUUCAUCCUCUUUAUCAAUUCUUGAAAUCCCUCCACUUCAAUGUCAACUUUGUGACAAUUUUUAUCAUACUGCGAAAAAUUGUCCUCACUGUGAGCAACAAUUAAUUACUCCCUCUUCAUUAAUAUCCAAAACCAAUCUUCUUAAAAUUGG